UGCAGCGCUUGGUGUUAACAGUCCUGAGCUUGCCCUUAUACCCUCCACAGCCAUCUCAAGGCUUGUAGAACAGAAGGCCAGGCCCAUGUCAAGGCAUCAUGGACUGGGUAGACUGUCCCUGAGAGUAGGAGGUACAUUAAAAUGUGCAACUGUGGCUGCAGCUAUAGACAACACAUGUAAUUUACUCAUGUGAAUCCAAGAAACGGGGUUCAAUUGGCAUCACAACAAAAAUGGGAGGAUGGGACAUUUCCUGUAGCACACUACUGCUGCCGACUGGGUAAGAUGGUGAAGGGAAGGGGCAGGCUCAUAGAGCUGGUGGCCAGCACUGGAUCCAAGGUGGAGCACUCAGUUAAAAAGAUGAGAUUGUUCUUCCUGGCCAUGGAGACGUCAGCAACUUGUUCCAGUACUCGUUCCUGCACGCUGAGUUUCAAUCAUUAUCAUUAUUUUUGCCAUCUUUCGUGCCAUGCAGUGUUGUAUUUAGUCAAAUCAAACAGAUAUUUCUUUAAUGUUUUUAUUCCUAUCUACUGAUGUCAGCCAGUGUAUGGCUUUGGGUUGACUGUGUUGCUUGAAUGGAAUGUUGCCAUAUUGGCAGUUAAUUUGACAAAUUCAUGAACAUUUCUAUGCUCGAGGAAGGAUCAUCCCCUUCACUGAUAGGUAGCAUAUUUAAAGGAUAGGCCUCUUAAAGAGCUUAAACCCCUUAAGAAUAACCAAAGGCUCUGGUCUCCUGCAGCAUAGGGAUUCCUCUCUAAGUGUGUGUGUGUGUGUGUGUGUGUGUGUGUGUGUGUGUGUGUGUGUGUGUGUGUGUGUGUGU